AGGCUUGGGAUCCGUGCCAUUUUGCUGAAAAUCAUUACAUGCGGUGAAUACGGCAACCAUGUCGUAAGAUGUAACAGUAUAUACAUGUUCGUGGUCAUUUAUUGUAUGCAGUCUGUGAGGCACAGGUACAGGAAACCAGCCCGAUGUAAUUAAUUCCCUCCACCAUCACCUACCUGUGCAGUCCCCUACUUGCACGCAAGCACUCCAUAUCCAGAUCUGAAAAACUAUUCUCCUCUCGCCAGCUGCUAGUGAUUGACGCACAAACAAAUUCCUCACAGUAGAAGUGGAUUUCAGAUUUCGUAGUAGUCCUUUGAGGCCGCUGAUUAUCAAUAAUCUUGAACUGCUGUCCUUCUUCGGCGGAAGGAGAUGAGCAGUUCAGUAGAUCGGCUGGUGCAGCGACCACCCUGCGUCGAAUCCGUAUCGAAUCAAGAUAUAAGAGCCGAUGAGUGCGCAGUCGGGAUAGCUCAGAUGACCGUCAAAGAGGGGCGCCAGCUUUCGACAGUUGCUGAAGCGGACGAGCUCGAUUCUUCUAAUGGCUGGGUUCGACAGUUCUAGAUGCAGAGCAUGGGUCGAAAUCAAGGACUCCAAAUCUUAUUGCUGUGGAAAGGGAAAACAGCGGCUGGGUUCGACGACAUAGGCACGGUUGGGGAGGGCGUGUUUGGGGCUCGGCUGGAGAUGCUCUUAGCCAGUUGGCUUGUGUUUGAGGAUCAGUGCAAGUUUAACCGGAAUGAUUUUCAAUGUCUCAAUACAGCAGACGCACCAGUUUAGUACACGUUGGAAGAAGGAUUUGGAGAGACCGACCCCAUGUGUCAACUAUGUUCAACGAAAUGUGGAGCGUGGUUUUAAAUGGAGAUUCUUGGUAUGGCGUGUGCGGACGUAAGUCAGUAGGAGAGAAACAAGGUGACGAGGUUAACAGCUUCCCAUGCAACGAAAGCGUGAAAUGAUGUCAUUGAAUCUCACAAUUAGCCUGUUGCAAUUCAAGAUCAGAGAAGUGAUACUAUGUAUCUUCGUAAUGAAUGCAUAAAAAGAAUUCUGCUCAGCAUAUUACUGUGUAUUUUUUUUGUC